AGUGGCAGACGGGUGAGUAACAUGUAGGUAUCUGCCCUUUGGCCUGGAAUAACACGAGGAAACUUGUGCUAAUACUGGAUAAGUCUUUACGGAGAAAGCUUUAUGCACCAUUGGAUGAGCCUGCACUUGAUUAGUUUGUUGGUGGGGUAAUGGCCUACCAAGACUGUGAUCAAUAGCUGAUUUGAGAGGAUGAUCAGCCACAUUGGGACUGAGACACGGCCCAAACUCCUACGGGAGGCAGCAGUGGGGAAUCUUGCACAAUGGAGGAAACUCUGAUGCAGCGAUGCCGCGUGAGUGAAGAAGGCCCUUGGGUUGUAAAGCUCUUUCGUCGGGGAAGAAAAUGACUGUACCCGAAUAAGAAGGUCCGGCUAACUUCGUGCCAGCAGCCGCGGUAAUACGAAGGGACCUAGCGUAGUUCGGAAUUACUGGGCUUAAAGAGUUCGUAGGUGGUUGAAAAAGUUAGUGGUGAAAUCCCAGAGCUUAACUCUGGAACUGCCAUUAAAACUUUUCAGCUAGAGUAUGAUAGAGGAAAGCAGAAUUUCUAGUGUAGAGGUGAAAUUCGUAGAUAUUAGAAAGAAUACCAAUUGCGAAGGCAGCUUUCUGGAUCAUUACUGACACUGAGGAACGAAAGCAUGGGUAGCGAAGAGGAU
rnacentral:rRNA from 1 species